AAAUUUUGGAAAUUGUAAAAAUACAAUAAUUCAAUUAAAUUUUAUAUCUUAAAUUCCCAAUAUUAAAAUUAUUCAACUCCUAAACUUUUAGCACUUUAAUUUAUCAAACACAAUCUUAGUAAAAAGCUGACCAACCAGACCAAUAUCAUUAAGCAUAUAUACAUUCAAAUAAGAAAAGAAAAGGAAGAUUUUCCUGCCAAAACUAUCAACAAUAAAAUGCUUUCAUGCAGGAGCAUAGAACUUCACCUUUGUAUGAAAUGCCAUCA
rnacentral:misc_RNA from 1 species